rnacentral:rRNA from 1 species
UGGGGAAUUUUGGACAAUGGGCGAAAGCCUGAUCCAGCAAUGCCGCGUGUGUGAAGAAGGCCUUCGGGUUGUAAAGCACUUUUGUCCGGAAAGAAAUCCUUGGCUCUAAUACAGUCGGGGGAUGACGGUACCGGAAGAAUAAGCACCGGCUAACUACGUGCCAGCAGCCGCGGUAAUACGUAGGGUGCAAGCGUUAAUCGGAAUUACUGGGCGUAAAGCGUGCGCAGGCGGUUUGCUAAGACCGAUGUGAAAUCCCCGGGCUCAACCUGGGAACUGCAUUGGUGACUGGCAGGCUAGAGUAUGGCAAAGGGGGGUAGAAUUCCACGUGUAGCAGUGAAAUGCGUAGAGAUGUGGAGGAAUACCGAUGGCGAAGGCAGCCCCUGGGCCAAUACUGACGCUCAUGCACGAAAGCGCGGGGAGCAAACAGGAUUAGAUACCCUGGUAGUCCACGCCCUAAACGAUGUCAACUAGUUGUGGGGAUUCAUUUCCUUAGUAACGUAGCUAACGCGUGAAGUUGACCGCCUGGGGAGUACGGUCGCAAGAUUAAAACUUAAAUGAAUUGACGGGGUC